GACGAACGCUGGCGGCGUGCUUAACACAUGCAAGUCGAACGGAAAGGCCCUGCUUUUGUGGGGUGCUCGAGUGGCGAACGGGUGAGUAACACGUGAGUAACCUGCCCUUGACUUUGGGAUAACUUCAGGAAACUGGGGCUAAUACCGGAUAGGAGCUCCUGCUGCAUGGUGGGGGUUGGAAAGUUUCGGCGGUUGGGGAUGGACUCGCGGCUUAUCAGCUUGUUGGUGGGGUAGUGGCUUACCAAGGCUUUGACGGGUAGCCGGCCUGAGAGGGUGACCGGCCACAUUGGGCCUGAGGUACGGCCCAGCCUCCUACGGGGGGCAGCAGUGGGGAAUAUUGCCCAAUGGGCGGAAGCCUGAUGCAGCAACGCCGCGUGCGGGAUGACGGCCUUCGGGUUGUAAACCGCUUUCGCCUGUGACGAAGCGUGAGUGACGGUAAUGGGUAAAGAAGCACCGGCUAACUACGUG
rnacentral:rRNA from 1 species